GUUCCGGCCCCGUGCAAUCUUGAGCGCAUGAACCCCGCCAGGAUCGGAAGAUAGCAACGGUAGUGCCGUUCGGAUGUGCCGCGGGAAACCGGAGCCUG
rnacentral:SRP_RNA from 1 species